CUUAAUUAAAAGGCUUUAAUAGGUAUCUCACUCCCUCACACCUCCCUGCUAGCAGACACUUAUUCAGAGCAGGAAGAUUAACAACACUUUUGCUACUUUGAUGCCUGACACCCAAACUAGAAAGCAAUUGGAUACUUGCAUGUUCACAGCAUUCAGAUCUUCUGUCUUAGUGUAAACCCAUCUGAAAGCUUUGACUCAAAGUCAUGAAGUCACAGGGGCUCCUUUCAAUGCCAUGUCCUGCUUGGAAACUCGACGUUGAACGAGAACAGAUACAGCACCACAGCAACCACAAAGUCAGCCUGAGUAUCCCUGAGGAUGGAGACCCCCAUGCAGUGUGGGCCCCAGCUCCAGUGCUAGACCACCCUCAUGGGGAAAAAUAAUUAACAAAACAACAGCAGUUCUCAUACUGUAAGGUCAGCAAGGGGAUUUGACUGUUAAUCUUUUAUCAAAUGUGCAAUCUGAAGCAGCAGUGGUGUGAUUGCAUUUCUGCCUGAACCCCUGACCUCUGCUGUGCAGGGCUGCCAAGAACACAUGCACAAGAGGGGAAGAGAAGCC